AGUCUUGUAUCCUCCAUCCCACAAGCUGCAUCCUUUACCCUGCCUCCCAUAUCCCAAAUCCCACAUCUUGCAACCCACAUCCCAACCCUGCAUCCUACUCCUGCACCAUGUUCUGUAUCCCACAUCCCAUUCCUGCAUCCCAUAUUCUGAAUCCCACAUCCCAGUCCUGCAUCUCACAUCCCAGUCCUGCUUCAUGUCCUGUAUCCCGCAUCCAGCAGCCUACAUCCCAUAGCCCGCAUCCCACACCCCAUUCCUGCAUCCCAUUCCCAUAUUGUGUUCAGCAUUCUGCAUCCCAUUCCCACAUCCCAUUCCUGCAUCCCAUUCCCACAUCAUGUUUAGCAUCCCACUUCCCAUUCCCAUAUCCCAUUCCUGCAUCCCAUUCCCACAUCACGUUCAGCAUCCUGCAUCCCAUUCCCACAUUGUGUUCAGCAUCCUACAUCCCAUUCCCACAUCCCAUUCCUGCAUCCCAAUCUUGCAUCGUGUUCAGCAUCCUGCAUCCCAUUCCCACUUCCCAUUCCCACAUCCCAUUCCUGCAUCCCGUUCCCACAUUGUGCUCAGAAUCCCACAUCCCAUUCCCUCAUCCUAUUCCUGCAUCCCAUUCUCACAUCCCUUUCC
rnacentral:lncRNA from 1 species